rnacentral:tRNA from 5 species
GCCCACGUAGCUCAGUUGGCAGAGCACUUCCUUGGUAAGGAAGAGGUGACCGGUUCGAUCCCGGUCGUGGGCU